CUUGUCUGUAGAAUUUCCAACAUUAAACAGUGACUACAGACGGAAGGUCUUCAGGUCUGGUCCAGUUGUCUGGUGUGAACAUUCGGAGGAUUACAAAGUUAAAAAACAAUUAAAUCUGUUCUUAUGUCGGUGUCCGUCCAGAAACACGGUUAAAGUAUCAGCGCCGGACCCUGCAGUGGAUGGACUGGAAAUCUGAUCCUAACAAGUCCUAAUGUAGCCUGACUGGAACAAACACCGUCACCCACAAGAACCACACCGCGAUGAGAUCUGGCACUUUUAAUCUGUUAAUAUGGAGAAAUCAUCAGAUCGAACGGGGAAGCGGCUGUUCCCACUCUGAUACACACAGUUUUUACAUUCGUCCACCAGCCUCGUGCAGUGAAACUGAGGCCAACACAUAUCGUAUGAUGAGAAACCCCCGCUGUGCCACGCUGACGUCACUUACUCCCCAAACAAGUGCUCAAAGAAAAGUUGCUCUACAUUUUUGUAUAUUUAAACAAAAAUGAUAAAAACAAAAUUUUGUGAA